GACGAACGCUGGCGGCGUGCUUAACACAUGCAAGUCGAACGGAAAGGCCCUGCUUUUGUGGGGUGCGCGAGUGGCGCACGGGUGACUAACACGUGAGUAACCUGCCCCUUAUUUUGGGAUAACCUCAUGCAACUUAGUCUAAUACUGUAUAGGAGCUCCUGCUGCAUGGUGGGGUUCGGUGAGUUUCGGCGGUUGGUGAUGUUCUCGCGGCUUAUCAGUAUGUUGGGGGGGAAGCGGUUUACCAAGGCUUACACGGGUAGGCGGUCUGGGAAGGUGACCGGCCACAAUGGGAAUGAGGUACGGGCCAGACUCCUACGGGAGGGAGGAGGGGGGGAUAAUGCACCAUGGGCGGGAGAGUGUGGUAGAAACGUUGCGUGCGGGAGAAGGGGCUUCGGGGUGUAAACCGCUUUCGCAGGUGACAAGGAGAGAAUGACGGUAAUGGGUGAAGAAGCGACGGCUAACUACGUG
rnacentral:rRNA from 1 species